CACCAUCUGAAGGUACGGUCAUCAUAGAGACAGUAGAGACAUGACAAUUGGGAAAAUAAGUAUAAUACUGCAGCAGUUGAAACACGAAAAUUAACACAUUUGAAGAUAUCUCGUGUGGUUCAUCGAUUUUGGAAUGUUGUCUCAGGGAAAUUUUGCAUUGGAUUUUUGCAGGCACGUAACUAGGCUUCACCACUGGGGCAUUGUCCCAUCGUCCCUUCUGGAGUCCAGAAGGAAGGAAAGAGAAGCAUGGAAAAUUAUAAUGGAGAAUUCAGUGGAAUCGCUCAGAGAAAAUAGAGUUUCGUAAUUAUAUCUUCAGCCACUGAAGUGCUUGAGAAAGAAACGUGUCUGCCACAACAGAAGACAUGCACUACUACUGAAGAUACUACUGUAAAUUUGCAGUUGGGCAACCAGAGAUUUGGAACAGAGAUAAAGAAGAUAAAAGAGAAGAUAGCUGCAACAGAGAGCAAGAUUAACACAUCUCUACGCGCAGGCCAAAUGAAGCACUUGGAAAGAGUUUCUGGAUCAAAUUCUUAUAAAU